AUGAAACACUCCUACGGGAGGCAGCAGUGAGGAAUUUUGGACAAUGGGCGAAAGCCUGAUCCAGCCAUGCCGCGCGAGUGAAGAAGGCCUUCGGGUUGUAAACCGCUUUUGUCAGGGAAGAAAAGUUCCGGGUUAAUACCCUGGGAUGCUGACGGUACCUGAAGAAUAAGCACCGGCUAACUACGUGCCAGCAGCCGCGGUAAUACGUAGGGUGCAAGCGUUAAUCGGAAUUACUGGGCGUAAAGCGUGCGCAGGCGGUUGAGUAAGUCAGAUGUGAAAUCCCCGGGCUCAACCUGGGAAUUGCAUUUGAGACUGCACGGCUAGAGUGUGUCAGAGGGGGGUAGAAUUCCACGUGUAGCAGUGAAAUGCGUAGAUAUGUGGAGGAAUACCGAUGGCGAAGGCAGCCCCCUGGGAUAACACUGACGCUCAUGCACGAAAGCGGGGGGAGCAAACAGGAUUAGAAACCCUAGUAGUCCGAAGUUC
rnacentral:rRNA from 1 species